GACGAACGCUGGCGGCGUGCUUAACACAUGCAAAUCGAACGGAAAGGCCCUGCUUUUGUGGGGUGCUCGAGUGGCGAACGGGUGAGUAACACGUGAGUAACCUGCCCUUGACUUUGGGAUAACUUCAGGAAACUGGGGCUAAUACCGGAUAGGAGCUCCUGCUGCAUGGUGGGGGUUGGAAAGUUUCGGCGGUUGGGGAUGGACUCGCGGCUUAUCAGCUUGUUGGUGGGGUAGUGGCUUACCAAGGCUUUGACGGGUAGCCGGCCUGAGAGGGUGACCGGCCACAUUGGGACUGAGAUACGGCCCAGACUCCUACGGGAGGCAGCAGUGGGGAAUAUUGCACAAUGGGCGGAAGCCUGAUGCAGCAACGCCGCGUGCGGGAUGACGGCCUUCGGGUUGUAAACCGCUUUCGCCUGUGACGAAGCGUGAGUGACGGUAAUGGGUAAAGAAGCACCGGCUAACUACGUG
rnacentral:rRNA from 1 species